rnacentral:rRNA from 1 species
UACGAAGGGGGCUAGCGUUGCUCGGAAUUACUGGGCGUAAAGGGCGCGUAGGCGGCUCUGUUAGUCAGGCGUGAAAGCCCUGGGCUCAACCUGGGGACUGCGCUUGAUACGGCGGGGCUUGAGGGCAGGAGAGGCUCGCGGAAUUCCCAGUGUAGAGGUGAAAUUCGUAGAUAUUGGGAAGAACACCGGUGGCGAAGGCGGCGAGCUGGCCUGUUACUGACGCUGAGGCGCGACAGCGGUGGGGAGCAAACAGG